UACGUAGGGGGCUAGCGUUGUCCGGAAUCAUUGGGCGUAAAGCGCGUGUAGGCGGUCCGGUAAGUCCGCUGUGAAAGUCGGGGGCUCAACCCUCGAAUGCCGGUGGAUACUGUCGGACUAGAGUGCGGAAGAGGCGAGUGGAAUUCCUGGUGUAGCGGUGAAAUGCGCAGAUAUCAGGAGGAACACCAAUUGCGAAGGCAGCUCGCUGGGACGUUACUGACGCUGAGACGCGAAAGCGUGGGGAGCAAACAGG
rnacentral:rRNA from 1 species